CUACGGGCGGCACCAGUCGAGAAUCAUUUGCAAUGCGCGAAAGCGUGACAAUGCGACGCUGCGUGGAGGAUGAAGGCCUUAGGGUUGUAAACUCCUGUCAGGAGGGAAAAAUAAACAAUCGGUUAAUAGCCGGAUGAAUUGAUGGUACCUCCAGAGGAAGCCACGGCUAACUCUGUGCCAGCAGCCGCGGUAAUACAGAGGUGGCGAGCGUUGUUCGGAUUUACUGGGCGCAAGGGUGCGUAGGCGGUCGAGUAAGUUGGAUGUGAAAGCCCAUGGCCCAACCAUGGAAUUGCAUUUGAUACUGCUUGACUAGAGUACAGGAGGGGAGAGCGGAAUUCUUGGUGUAGCGGUGAAAUGCGUUGAUAUCAAGAAGAACACCGGUGGCGAAGGCGGCUCUCUGGAAUGUUACUGACGCUGAGGCACGAAAGCUGGGGGAGCAAACAGGAUUAGAUACCCGAGUAGUC
rnacentral:rRNA from 1 species